rnacentral:rRNA from 1 species
AUACAGGGUGACAGCCCCGUACACAAAAAUGCACAUACUGUGAGCUCGAUGAGUAGGGCGGGACACGUGGUAUCCUGUCUGAAUAUGGGGGGACCAUCCUCCAAGGCUAAAUACUCCUGACUGACCGAUAGUGAACCAGUACCGUGAGGGAAAGGCGAAAAGAACCCCGGCGAGGGGAGUGAAAAAGAACCUGAAACCGUGUACGUACAAGCAGUGGGAGCACGCUUAGGCGUGUGACUGCGUACCUUUUGUAUAAUGGGUCAGCGACUUAUAUUCUGUAGCAAGGUUAACCGAAUAGGGGAGCCGAAGGGAAACCGAGUCUUAACUGGGCGUUAAGUUGCAGGGUAUAGACCCGAAACCCGGUGAUCUAGCCAUGGGCAGGUUGAAGGUUGGGUAACACUAACUGGAGGACCGAACCGACUAAUGUUGAAAAAUUAGCGGAUGACUUGUGGCUGGGGGUGAAAGGCCAAUCAAACCGGGAGAUAGCUGGUUCUCCCCGAAAGCUAUUUAGGUAGCGCCUCGUGAAUUCAUCUCCGGGGGUAGAGCACUGUUUCGGCAAGGGGGUCAUCCCGACUUACCAACCCGAUGCAAACUGCGAAUACCGGAGAAUGUUAUCACGGGAGACACACGGCGGGUGCUAACGUCCGUCGUGAAGAGGGAAACAACCCAGACCGCCAGCUAAGGUCCCAAAGUCAUGGUUAAGUGGGAAACGAUGUGGGAAGGCCCAGACAGCCAGGAUGUUGGCUUAGAAGCAGCCAUCAUUUAAAGAAAGCGUAAUAGCUCACUGGUCGAGUCGGCCUGCGCGGAAGAUGUAACGGGGCUAAACCAUGCAC